GCUCCCAGCGCAGACGGUGCUGAAAAACACCUGUAGAAAUAUGUUACCAACCGCCUGUAUAGUGUGCUCAUGUACUAGUGCCACCAGCCUAAUCCUAGGGCAACGACGAGCUCCGCCAUGAAGUCCCCAUUGCCAGCCUUGUCCAACUGCCAUCUCACGCUGCCCCGGUGGGCAACACCUCCGACAUGGUCUCACCUGCCUCCACCGUCAUGUCACAGUCGCCGCUCCCUAAAUCCCCUUCUAAUCCC
rnacentral:lncRNA from 1 species